UUAUAAUUAAGAAUUAAUUAAAAAAAAAUUAAAUGAAUUCAUUAAAUUUAAAUAAUUUGACGGUAUUUUAAAUAAUUAGAGGAAUUUGUUAGUUAAAUGAUAAUCCACGAAUGGAAUGUCCUAAUAAAAUUUUUAUGUAUUGUUGUAUAAAAAUUAUUUUAGAAAAAUUAUGAUUAGAAAAUUUAAUAUAAUUUGAAUUCAAAUCAAAAUGUAGAAUUUUUAGGUUUAAAUGAAUUACAUUUUAAUUUAAUAUUAGAUUUAUUUUUUUAAUAAAAAUAAUAAUAUAGGAUUUAAAAGUAAAUUUAAAUAAAUAUUUAGGUUGAAAUAAUAAUUAAAAUAUG
rnacentral:rRNA from 1 species